rnacentral:rRNA from 1 species
UACGGGGGGGGUAAGCGUUGUUCGGAAUUACUGGGCGUAAAGCGCAUGUAGGCUGCUUGGAAAGUCGGAUGUGAAAGCCCUGGGCUCAACCCAGGAAGUGCACUCGAAACUUCCAAGCUCGAGUCCUGGAGAGGGUGGCGGAAUUCUCGGUGUAGAGGUGAAAUUCGUAGAUAUCGAGAGGAACACCGGUGGCGAAGGCGGCUACCUGGACAGUGACUGACGCUGAGAUGCGAAAGCGUGGGGAGCAAACAGG